GCCUCGAUGGUGGAAUUGGUAGACACGCUAGACUCAAAAUCUGGUGGGCUUGCCCGUGUCGGUUCGACUCCGACUCGAGGUACCA
rnacentral:tRNA from 2 species